UUGAUUAUGAACCUCUAGGUUUCAUGAUAUUCUUCGAUCCGUUUAGAGACCUAGGCUUAAAAUCGUGAGGAAUUAAUGAUGCAUUUUGACUUGGGAAGUGAAGGCGAAGUUAGUGGUGAACUUGAGUUCGAUUUAUGGUGACCACCGCCGCCGGAAGCGAUUUCCGGCGCGGCGGUCCACGGUGAGGGCGACGGAAGCAUAAACCGGAGUUAUGAACAAAUCUGGCGCGUAUCCC
rnacentral:lncRNA from 1 species